rnacentral:rRNA from 1 species
CGGAACGGGUGAGUAAUGCGUGACCAACCUGCCCCAUGCUCCAGAAUAGCUCUUGGAAACGGGUGGUAAUGCUGGAUGCUCCAACUUGACGCAUGUCUUGUUGGAAAGUGUUUAGUGGCAUGGGAUGGGGUCGCGUCCUAUCAGCUUGUAGGCGGGGUAAUGGCCCACCUAGGCUUCGACGGGUAGCCGGCCUGAGAGGGCGGACGGCCACAUUGGGACUGAGAUACGGCCCAGACUCCUACGGGAGGCAGCAGCC